ensembl:lncRNA
CCCCCUUUAAAUCUGUUGGAUGAGAUGUUCCUUUCCUCAUGCACUAUUUCUGCUUUUCCAUUGUAGAUUUAAGUGCUGCAAAUCUGAGUAAGUCUCCCUGCCUACACUGAAGGAUUUGGGGGCUUUCCCAUGGGAUCGGCCAUGGGAUGAUAAUCCGACCCUUCCCAUCAUGCAUUUCUCAUUUGUUUCUUUUGCAGAAGCACAGGCUACCAUACUGGGUGAGUCCUCCCUCACAAAUUAGAAACAAUAAAGGGGCUCUGCCUGUGUGAGCUGUGGGAUGAGUGCAUGAUGCUCAUCAUGCACUGCUUUCCUCUUUCUUUGCCAGUGGAAAGAACUGGAGAAUUGGGUGAGCGUCCUUCCCCAAACUCAAGGAAUGUGGGGUUUCCCAUGGGAUGACAAGCUGUCCCACCUCAUCAUGCGGUGCUUUUUCUUUUUUUUCCUUAUUUGCUUUGCAGAGAUACGGAAUUCACUCUUGAGUAAGUUGCAGACAGAAACCUGAGGGAAUUUGGGGUCUUCCCAAGGGACUGUGUAUGGGAUGAAAAAUCCCCUCUGACCUUGCACUGCUUUUCUCUUUCUUUUACAGAGAGACAUUUAAGAAAGAUGGGUGAGUCUCCACUCCUAAAUUAAAAUCUUUGGGGUCUUCCGGUGUGAGCUGCGGGAUGAGAUGUUCCUCUCAUCAUGCAUUGGUUCUAUUUUCCUUGGCAGAAUACAGUGCUGUAAUACUGAGUAAGUCUCCCCACAGACAGGGAAGGAAUUCGGAGGCUUCCCGUGGUAUCAGCCAUGGGAGGAUAAUCUGACCCUUCUCAUCAUGUAUUUCUUAUUUGUUUAUUUUACAGAGCAACACAUUGUAGAAGGGGGUGAGUGCUCCCUCCCAAGUGGGGUUCCUAUGGGAGCUGUAGGAUGAGCUGUUCCUCUCAUCAUGACUUGUUUCUGCUUUUCCUUUGCAGAUAUAAGUGCUGAAAAUCUGAAGGAACAAGCUACAAAAUUGGUGGAACAAACUAAAGAAUCAGGUGAGUCUUCUUCCCUGAAUGAAAGGACUAUGGGGUUUCCCAUGCAAUGACAAGCUGUCCCACCUCAUCAAGUGUUGCAUUUCCUUUUCAGUAGUAGAAUCUGAAGAAUCAGGUGAGUCUUCUUCCCCGUACCAAAGAAACGUGAGGUUUCCCAUGGGAUGACAAGCUGUCCCACCACAGCAUCCAUUGCUUUUUCUUUCUUAUUUGCAGAGAUUCAGAAUUCACUGCUGAAGGAACACUGCGAACGGAUGGAAUUAAGUCUUGCAGAUCUGAAGAAACUAGCUGCAAGACUGGAGGAAGAAGCUGAAUAAGUGGAAAAACCAUCUGAAGACUUGGAUUGAGAGAUGAACUGCGCCUCACAGUAACCACAGGAGUUAAGCUUCAUAGAUCAAUGACUGCACAGCAUACAGAAACCACGAUACCUCAAACAGAGCAAGGAAAUCCACAGCGAGAACAAGAGGAGCCAGUGUUUGUGUUGAGUGAGAACACUGCAGUUCUGUCAGAUAAGGCUGCCUGAGGGACCACCAAACUGAGGGUGUGUGACCUCCAACUCAAAUCCAAUUGGAAGAAACUAUAGAAAGGAAGACUACAAGAGGAAGACAGAGAUCCUGGAAAAGGGAUAGACGUUUUGGGAAUUAACAUGGCCAUGUAUCAGGGUUUGAGGAAUUCUAAUGUAUAUAUAAGGCUUUUGGAAAUAUAAACAUGCACACAGAAGCAAAGGAAAAAAACUGCUUUGGGUGUUAAUACUGUUCUCUGUCCCUAUAUAAUAAAGAAUACCUGCAGAUGGUAAUGGAUCAUUGAUUGUGAUCAGUUAUUGGGGUUUGGUUCCAUGAAACAGGCUGAGUCUUCAUCCCGGAACCAAAGCAACGUGGGCUCUAUCGGAUAACAAGCUGACCCUUCUCACUACACAUUUCUAUUCCAGCAGAACAAGGCUCCC